rnacentral:lncRNA from 1 species
UUUGCUUUUAUUAACUAUUAUUGCUAAAGUUUAUGAUUGCGAUCAUUUCACCGUGAAUAAUUUUGUUUCCUGCAGGUGGAUCGUAUCAUCUUCUGCGUCUUUUUGGAGGUUGACUAUAAAAUUUUCAAGAAGAAAAUGGGCGAGUUUUUCCCUCUAGAUGAUGCAAAUGAAGAAGGGACUGAGCUGAGUGAAGAGACAGGUGGUAACAGCACAGAGGAGAAGCAAAACGCUGAAGAAACCGAGGCCCAGAGCCAAGAAACAGGUUUGUGCCGAGUUUCUUAAAGGACUUUGUGAGGUUUUGUCCACCUCGGUGAAAAGUAACCUUAGUCAAU